GAUGAACGCUGGCGGCGUGCCUAAUACAUGCAAGUCGAGCGAACGGACGAGAAGCUUGCUUCUCUGAUGUUAGCGGCGGACGGGUGAGUAACACGUGGAUAACCUACCUAUAAGACUGGGAUAACUUCGGGAAACCGGAGCUAAUACCGGAUAAUAUUUUGAACCGCAUGGUUCAAAAGUGAAAGACGGUCUUGCUGUCACUUAUAGAUGGAUCCGCGCUGCAUUAGCUAGUUGGUAAGGUAACGGCUUACCAAGGCAACGAUGCAUAGCCGACCUGAGAGGGUGAUCGGCCACACUGGAACUGAGACACGGUCCAGACUCCUACGGGAGGCAGCAGUAGGGAAUCUUCCGCAAUGGGCGAAAGCCUGACGGAGCAACGCCGCGUGAGUGAUGAAGGUCUUCGGAUCGUAAAACUCUGUUAUUAGGGAAGAACAUAUGUGUAAGUAACUGUGCACAUCUUGACGGUACCUAAUCAGAAAGCCACGGCUAACUACGUGCCAGCAGCCGCGGUAAUACGUAGGUGGCAAGCGUUAUCCGGAAUUAUUGGGCGUAAAGCGCGCGUAGGCGGUUUUUUAAGUCUGAUGUGAAAGCCCACGGCUCAACCGUGGAGGGUCAUUGGGAAACUGGAAAACUUGAAUGCAGAAAAGGAAAGUGGAAUUCCAUGUGUAGCUGUGAAAUACGCACAGUAUGGAGGAACACCAAUGGACAAGGUAUUUUCUGUUUGUAAAUGACACUGUUUGCCAAAUCUUGUC
rnacentral:rRNA from 1 species